ACUCAGGCUGUGGCCCGCGGCGUUACCUUUGGCUGGCCUCGAAGCACGCGGGCCGGGUUGCUCCGAGGCUGGGCCUGGCUGACUCUGCCCGAGCGACGGGACGGCAGCGGGCGGCCCGCCGCCCAGUGGCCCGCACACCGGUCCGCAGAGACCUCAGCCCGGGAGAGACGCCGGAGCCGGGUGCCCGGGCGGGACUGCACCAACGUUCGCGCAGCUGCUCCAGAUGCAGACGCGGGGGAGAAAGCUUACGAAGAUGGGGUCCACUCGCUCUCCGAAGCCGGGGAGGAAGGAUCAAUCCCGCGGGUGCUGGGCUUGAGCAGGUGUGGGCCUCGGCUGCUGGAGCGAAGCUCUGGGCUCUUUUGUGUCGGGGUCCAGGGAGUUGGACUAGGAAAGGGAGGAAGGGAGGUGCUGGCAGAGGGUUGGUUCCCCGGCGCCGCGCCAGCUUCUCGAGUUUCCCCUCCUGGGGACCCUAGGCAGACCCCGAGGGCCGGGGAGGGUGUGCGGCGAGCCCCUCGGCGCUCUGCGGCCGCUCGCCUCUCGGGGGCUCGAGGGCGGGGUGGGAUGCUAUACAGAGGAGGGGCAGGCGGCCAGGUCUCAGAGGCUUCGCGUCUCUUCUUUGCUUUUAUUUUUUCCCCUUUCUCAUCCUCCAGGAUGGCAUCCGCACCGGAGGGCGAUGCCCUCGAGGGACCCAGCGCUCCAGCUUCCAGGGCCAAGUCGGGAGGAUGCAGCGCCUCGGGGCCAGGGGCACUGAGCGAUCCUCGCCGCGCGUCGGUCGGUUCUUGGUCCGUUUGGGGGAGUGCACGGGGUUUUGAGAUUCUACUGAGAGGAGAGGCCUCGGCGGCUGGAAGAGCUCAAGAAGCAAGCACCCAGGGGAAAGCGGCUUCUCUGAGGCGGAGUGGCGGCUUGGGAGCUGGGUGGGGGUGUCCCGGCCCGGGGACAGGCCCCGAGAAGGUCUUACGGAGCUGGUAGCCACUGCCUCGCCCACAGUCUCUGGAGUUACAUCCCAAGGCAAACGGGCCUUCGGCCACUCAAGCCUAAAGCACCGAAGCCACUGCGAGCACCCCGCCUCAACACUUGUCACCCGAGGUUGGGAGCCCGGGUACCGCCAUGGCACGCUUAACCCCGGGUGACUUUGUGGAGGUGCACAGAUGGGACACGCCUCAGGCCGGCGCCCUCCGAGACGCUGAUGGAUCGGCUCAUUUCCCGACUUGAUGGGCCGGAACCUGGAGUGGCGGGGCUGGCGUGGGCGAGGGGUGGCGGGAGAGGCGCGCCCAUAUGUGUGUGUGUGUGUGUGUGUGUGUGACAUACAUAUCUUAGAGAAAGCGCCCCAAUACUCUUCCUCCCACAACGCGAAGCUCUCUCUCCUCCAGUUUUCUGCUCCGCGCACAGGUCCGCGGCCCUGAUCCCUAGACCCGCCGGGCCGUGAGCGCUGGCGGCUGUCGGAGUCCCGGGCCGCCCCUCCUCUCCGUGGGCCUCUGGGUCGCCCGCACCGCGCCGGCCGCAUCCUUGUCCGCGAUACUGCAGAGAACAGGACUCGGUCUCCAAGCACCCAACAAGGGCCCUGGCUGGGGGCACAGGUCAAAGCCGCAGUGUAGCCGGGGUGGAGGAGCCUCCAUUCCGGGGCCGUCUAAGCUCCGUCUCUGGGAAGCUUGGAGGGAGACCUGGGACCCGGUUUGAGAGUCCGGCGCGGGAGGAAUUCUGUGGAAAGGUGGGGGCGGGGGGGAGUGGAAUGAGCACUCAAUGCUCACUUCUGGGAAGGUCGGACCCUCCAGCAAUGCCAGCAAGGCUGCGGGCCCCUGAGGAGGGCAAGUUUGCAGGUCCCUGUUCUAGUCCCUUGCCCUCAAUUCAGAAUGGAGUGGGAAGGAGGUGAGAAACCCAGGGGGGAGCCGGAGCUCAAGUAAGAAGGCAGCUAAACUGAUGAGGAUCCCUCCGGGGGUUCCUGUUUCUAGGUCAUCACUGUGGAUCCCCUUUCAGCUUCCCGGAGUCUCCUGAACUUCCUCCAGGUCUCCUGAACUCCAGCUCUGCUUGCAUGUGUUCAUCCUAGGCUGGACCUUGGAAAGACCUAAACGGAUCAGGCCUGGGAUCGCAAGGAGUCUCUAACCUUGGUGUGCAGCUGGGCAAAAUAUCCCGCCUUCUCCUCCAGUGCCUGCUGGGAGAAUAGACACUCUCUAGGGAGCCAGGAACGCCUCCCAAGGGUCAGGGCGGCUAGACAGUGCACUGCCGGGCACUAAAGUGAGGUCCACGGGCCAGUAGUAUCAGCUCCACUCUGCAACAUCACCCUCCCUACUGCAGUAUUUCAGGCCCCACCCAGGCCUCCUGUAUCAGAAGCUGCAUUGAAGAUGGUGGUCCAGGGAACUGACACUCAUCUCAGGUGGAGAAGCCUAACUUAGAGAACCUCAGUUUAGCCACAGCCCACACCUUCCACCUCCUGUCUCCCAGCUGGAUUGCCACCAUCUGUCAAAUGGUGUCCUGCGGAGCUCUUAAAGCCCCCACUGCAGACCAGUGAAUUUUGAGUUUCUAGGUGGUAGAGUCCAGGCAGGAAUGUGGUUUUAAGUGUCCGCAGAUGAUUUUAACAGCAGCCAGGAAUAACUGUCAUGGAAAUACCCAUUUAACAAACUAGCUAAGGUAGGUCUGAGAUCUGUGCAAGAUGGUAAGGAAAUGGUUUAAGGCCCCUGGGCUCUGUGUCCUGAUUCACUGUAGCUCUGGCAGGUGUGGCCUUGAGACAGCUAAUUAAUCUUGCUGUGCCUCAAUUUCCUCACUUGUGAAAUGGAGUUAAAGAUGUCUACCACAAAGGGAGUAGUGUGGUUUUAGAAUCAAAUGUUUAGAAUCAUACUCAAUAGAUACUCACUUAUAAGGCCAAGUCCCUCAAUUUCGUUUUAACUCAAAAUGGCAGAACGCCCAUUUAUCUCACUCCUCUUCCCGCCUGCCAUGAGCAGUCCUCUUCUAUGGCACAGUGGCUUGAUUUUGCUUCAAAAUUCAUAUAUAUUUUCAACAUUUUCAACGUGAAAACCUGUAUUUUGAAUUGCUUAACAACGUAGUAAACCUAACCCUUUGCAGACAUUGAUUUUGCUGGUUCCAGUAAUUUUAUUCCUAUUCCUUUGGCUUUAGAAGCACCAAUGAAGUGUGCUUCUAGCUCUAUGUCUGGACAGGACAAUCACAGCAUUCAGAUACCCUGAUGGCUUGUUAAAAUAUCCUGAGAGAAAGGGCCCCGCCCAGAGAUGCUGCAUCUGUAGGCUUGGAAAGCAGCAGAGUAGUUGUAUAUUUGACCAGUCCCCGAGUCAUGUGGCUGCUUCUCUUCAAAGGGGACCAUGCUUUGAGAACCGUAGUAAUGGUCUCAGAUCAUCGUAGAAAUCUCAACUUCAGCACUGUCUGAUAGGACUAUAAAGCAAAUCACAAUUGUAAUUUUAAAUAUCCUGGUAGCCACAUUUUAUUAAUUUUUGUAUAUUUAUUUUUAUUUAAAUGUUUUUAACAUAUAACAUGGUACAAAUUUAAGAGUUACAGCAAGUUAACUUGAUAAUUUACAUAUUGUAAUGUGAUUACCAUUGUAUUGAUAGUUACCUCUAUCAUGUCACAUAAUUAUUAUUUUUUUAAUAAUUAUAAAUAUAGACAACAAAGGAAGCCCUUUGUUGUCUAUAUUUACUGUAUAUUCCAUUAGAUCUCCAAGAUUUAUUUACCUAAUAAUCAUAAGUCUGUGCCCUUAAAAAAUAACUUUCCUAUCCCCCAGCCUCUGGUAACCCCACUUUACUCUUUGUUUUAAUGAGUUUGGUAUACAUUUUAAAAAGAAAAAAAAAUGGGUCAAAUUCGUUUUAAUGGAUAUAUUUUAUUAGACCUAAUAUAUUCAACAUACGAAUGUUUUAACAUUUAGUCAGUAACUAAUAAAGAUAAGCUAUCUAACA
rnacentral:lncRNA from 1 species